GUAGUCUCGCACAGAUGCAUAUCAAUAAGCGGAGGAAAAGAAACUAACAAGGAUUCCCUAGUAACGGCGAGUGAAGCGGGAAGAGCUCAAAUUUGAAAUCUUCAAGGUUUUACCUUGACGAAUUGUAGUUUAAAGAAGUGUUUUCUGUUGAAGUUUUGGUAAAAGUUCUUUGGAAUAGGACAUCAUAGAGGGUGAGAAUCCCGUAUUUGACCAUUAUUUUCAGCUGUGUGAUACACUUUCAAAGAGUCGGAUUGUUUGGGAAUGCAGUCCAAAAUGGGUGGUAAAUUUCAUCUAAAGCUAAAUAUUGGCGAGAGACCGAUAGCGAACAAGUACCGUGAGGGAAAGAUGAAAAGAACUUUGAAAAGAGAGUUAAACAGUACGUGAAAUUGUCAAAAGGGAAGCGUUUGACACCAGUGUUGUUUUCUCGAAAAUCAAUUAAAAAGAGUUAGAUUUUGUUGUGUAUUGACCUUAACAGCUUGCAUUUCAAUUUUCUUGCUUUUUUUAAUGCACUUUUCGUUUAACAAGUCAACAUCAGUUUCUUUUGUUGUAAAAAGGUCAUUGGAAGGUGGCUUUCUUUUCGGAGAAAGUGUUUAUAGCCUUUGACUCCUGCAAUCGGAGAGACUGAGGUCUGCAGCGUAGAUCCUUCGGGGUUAGAUAGCAUUUGUGCUAAGUUAUAGCAUUUUAUAGACAACUUGUUGACUAUGAUUAGUCUUGUAGCUUACUCGCUUAUGCUAUUUUACCUACGCUUAGGAUGUGAGCGCAUGUCUCUCUCU
rnacentral:rRNA from 1 species